UAAGGUCACGGCGAGACGAGCCGUUUAUCAUCACGAUAGGUGUCAA
rnacentral:rRNA from 1 species